rnacentral:rRNA from 1 species
UACGGGGGGGGCAAGCGUUGUUCGGAAUUACUGGGCGUAAAGGGCUCGUAGGCGGCCAACUAAGUCAGACGUGAAAUCCCUCGGCUUAACCGGGGAACUGCAUCUGAUACUGGAUGGCUUGAGUUUGGGAGAGGGAUGCGGAAUUCCAGGUGUAGCGGUGAAAUGCGUAGAUAUCUGGAGGAACACCGGUGGCGAAGGCGGCAUCCUGGACCAACACUGACGCUGAGGCGCGAAAGCUAGGGGAGCAAACAGG